rnacentral:rRNA from 1 species
GACAGAGGAUGCAAGCGUUAUCCGGAAUGAUUGGGCGUAAAGCGUCUGUAGGUGGCUUUUUAAGUCCGCCGUCAAAUCCCAGGGCUCAACCCUGGACAGGCGGUGGAAACUACCAAGCUGGAGUACUGCAGGGGAGACUGGAAUUCCUGGUGUAGCGGUGAAAUGCGCAGAUAUCAGGAAGAACACCCGUGGCGAAGGCGGCUCUCUGGGACGGUACUGACGCUGAGACGCGAAAGC